UACGAAGGGGGCUAGCGUUGUUCGGAUUCAUUGGGCGUAAAGGGUGCGUAGGCGGCGCGGUAAGUCGGGUGUGAAAUCUCGGAGCUUAACUCCGAAACUGCAUUCGAUACUGCCGUGCUUGAGGACUGGAGAGGAGACUGGAAUUUACGGUGUAGCGGUGAAAUGCGCAGAUAUCAGGAAGAACACCCGUGGCGAAGGCGGCUCUCUGGUACGUGACUGACGCUGAGACGCGAAAGCGUGGGGAGCAAACAGG
rnacentral:rRNA from 1 species